AUAUUUAAAUGAAUGGAGGUCAAACUUAGGAUUUUGGUAAUGCACCGAACACACACAGAUAUACACAAACAACAGCUUAACCACAAUACACAAAGUUAGCAUCGGCUAAAAUUCGGAAUAACAAAAAGACUAGCAACAGACAACAAGCAAGGCCUCUCUUGCAUUGUCAGCGUCUUCCUUUUAUAGAUUCCAAUCUCCAUCAAGUGGAAUGAAUCAGAGGACGUCAUCACCUCCAACGAUGAUUGGCAGGAAGCAGGACCAAUGGCAUAGCACUAAGAAUGGGAAAAUAAAGACAAACCAAAAGAGAGAGAAAACACCACAAAACGGCACCAGCCAUAACACUCUCCCCCAUAAGAGUAAACAUAAUAAAAACAUACGAAAUAUGUUUACAUUCAUAACCUUUCCUAGACACGCGACAGGGCAUCUGUUACUACGUUCUCCUGACCUGUUUUAUGCUGAAUUUCCAAAUCAUAAUUCUGUAACACCAAAGCCCACCGCAUAAGCCGCUGAUUCUGGUUAUACAUACAGGACAUAAAAGUGAGAGGAUUAUGAUCAGUAAAAACAACAAUAGGUAGAUUAGUAGAGCCAACGUAAACCUCAAAGUGCUGCAAUGCAAAAAGUAGUGAUAGAGCCUCUUUCUCAAUAGUGGAAUAAUUGAGUUGAUGUUUGUUAAAUUUCUGAGAAAAACAACAAACCGGAUGAUCAACUCCAGUUACAUCCUCCUGUAACAAAACAGCUCCAGCCCCUACAGCACUAGCAUCAACUUCCAUUUGAAUGGGCGUAAAAGAUCCGGUGCAGCCAAGACAGGCACACUACACAAAAGCACCUUCAUGCUAUCAGAAGCAUGUUGACAUUCCUUGGUCCAUACAAAUGAAUUGGAAGGACUCAAUAAGUUAGUGAGAGGGCAGGCAACCGUAGAAAAAUUCCGGCAAAAACUACGAUAAUAUCCUGCCAUACCAAUGAACCUGCGCAACUCACGCCUGGUUUUUGGAGCAGGAAACUCAGUAAUGGCAGCAAUCUUUGCCUCUACAGGACGACCCUGCCCCUGUCCCACCUCCUUACCUAAAUAGGUGAUGGUGGCUUGCCCAAAUUCACAUUUUGUCAAAUUAAGAGUUAACGAUGCAUCUGACAAACGCUCGAAAACAAGUUUUAAUAAAGCAAGAUGUUCUACCCAAUCAGAAGAAUAAACAACUAAAUCAUCAAGGUAGGCAUCACAAUUUGGAACACAAGCUAAUACAAUGUUCACCAACCUCUGAAAAGUCACAGGCGCAUUUCACAUUCCAAAAGCCAUAUUAGAAUACUGCAGAAAAUGAUCUGGGGUAACAAAGGCUGAAAUUUCAGAAGGAGUAAGUGGAACUUGCCAGUAUCCCUUAAGUAAGUCUAACUUGCUAACAAAUCGAGCUGAUCCAAGAUUGUCUAUACAAUCUUCCAUCCUGGGUAAAGGAUACGAAUCAGGAAUGGUAACACUAUUAACCUUUCGGUAAUCUGUACAGAAUCGGUAAGUUCCGUCAGGUUUAGGUACCAACAGACAAGGGCUACUCCAUGGACUACAACUGUGUACAGCCAAUACAUUUUCCACUAAGUAAUCAACCUCUGCACGCAUAACAGAUCGUUUUAUCGUAUUAACAAGAUACGCAUGCUGUUUAAUAGGUGCCAAAUUUGAAACUUUGAUAUCAUGUUUUAAAACAGUCGUCUGAGUGGGCACAUCGUGAAACAAUUGAGGAAAACCUUUAACCAACUGCAUAAUAUCAUGUUUUUGAGCUGAAGACAAAUGAACAAGAUGCUGUGACAAAUUUUAUAACAUCACAGAAUUCGACAACCUCGCUCCCUGUUGCACAGCAUUACGCAACAGAACUCCAUCCUCAUCAACAUUAGCGUCACAGCAAGAGGGACUCACACGUUCACAAACAGCAGCAGUAACCACAGGUGCAUCUUCCUGCUCCACAGCACUUAGUAGGUUUUCCCUUGAAUGGAAAGGUUUCAACAUAUUAACAUGACAUACCCGAGUCUGACGCUUCCGAUCAGGUGUAGCAAUAAUAUAAUCUGUCUCACUUAUUCGUUUCACAACUUUUAAGGGACCAGUAAAACGAGUAGCUAAAACUGAUCCGGGUACAGGCAGAAGAACAAGUACCUCAUCACCACUCUGAAAACAAUGGGGAACAGCUUUCAAAUCAUGCUGCUUCUUCAUACUGCUCUGUACCUUUGCAAGAUUCUCACGUGCCAACAAACAAGCAUCGUGCAAGCAUUCCCGCAUCUGACUUACAAAAUUGAGCACAUUGUUUGACACUUUUGUUUCGAUGAUAGCAGCCUUUAAUAUUUUCAAAGGGCCCCUCACUGAAUGCCCAAAAACCAGAUCAGCUGGGCUAAAACCCAGGGAUUCUUGCACUGUUUCUCGAGCAGCAAAUAAAAAGAGCGGAAUUCCCUCAACCCAAUCUCUUUCCCUGUCCAUACAAUACUUCCUCAACAUCGACUUUAAAGACUGAUGAAACCGCUUCAGUGCUCCCUGACUCUCAGGAUGGGAAGCACUGGAGGAUCGAUGAACUAUGGACUUGUGAUUUUACUACUUGAGUGAACAGUUUAGACAAAAAAUUAGUGCCUUGAUCUGUUUGAAUGAUUUUAGGAAGCCCAAAUGUAGAGAAAAAUUUGAUAAGCUGUUUAACAAUAACCGAAGCUGUUAUUUUACAAAGGGGAAUAGCCUCUGGAAAACGUGUAGCUGCGCACAUAAUAGUCAGUAAAAACUGGUUACCAGCUUUCGUUUUUGGUAACGGUCCGACACAAUCAAUAAUUACGUGCACGAAUGGUUCCCCAAUAGCAGGAAAAGGCACAAGAGGUGCAGGUUGAAUUACCUGAUUUGGGUUACCGGUUUGUUGACACACCGGACACAUCCGGCAAUACUCAGCCAAAUCUUUCUUUAACCCUGGCAAAAAGAAAUGUUGCAAUAUGCGAUCUUCAUAAUUCCCAAAUGUCCAGCUAAUUGAUGGUCGUGGGCUAGUCACAACACUUGAGUCUGAUACAUGACAGGAACCAAAAUCUGAAACACAGAACUCCAGUCUCCCUCAGCAGCAUCAUCGGAACACCACUUGCGCAUAAGGAGACCAUCAUCAAUAAAAUAAGCCAUUUGUUUCUCCCUUGCCACCUCCUGACUUACAGCAGAAUUGAAGCAUUUACAGAGCCCUGGAUCGGACUGUUGGGCAGCACUCAUUUGCUUUCUAUUUACAACUAUCAAUGAAUUCUCAGGAGUAAACAUACCACCUUUUACAUCAUUCGAGAUUGGGUUCAGUAGUGUUUUAAAUGUGUCAGAAACUUCCAAUGGGCUAAGGGAUCUCUCACCUGUAAAAACAGGAACGAUAAAAGAGUCUGACAAAUCAAUUUCAUUUCCACACCUACGCGCCUGAGCUCGCGUAACUACACAGGCAGAGAAUAUGUCGGGGAAACGUUCACCCAGUUCUUCAGAGCCACAAGACACUUCUGGCACAUCCAGCACCUCCAGUAAAGGCCAUCACAUUUGCUCCAGCCAGAUCAUUCCCCAAAAUAAAAUCAACCCCCUGAACAGGCAGACUAGACUAGAGCGCAUCCCUACCUUUACAUACCAACUAACUAAAUCACAUUUUAAAUGCACUCUGUGCAAGGGAACUGGAAUAGUACACAUUUCAAUGCCUUGCACUAGUACAUUAGUUCCACAGUACGACUGAUCACAGAAAGGCAAUACUUCAGAGAUGUAACUGACAGAGGAUUCAGUUAAUAUUUCAUGUUUAUUAUUAUUUUGUUAAAGACCUUUAAUUUGAAAUUGAUUUGUAAAGAACUGUUUAGUGGAGACUUCUAUUAUGAAAAGCACAGUGUAACUCAAGAAGUUGUUGUCUAAACCGCAUGGCAAGUUGAAGCUGUAUUCCACAUUUCUAAAGUUCAUUUACUCAUCUGAAGUUACAGAAAAUAUUACCAGAUGUAAGAUUAAGUUCUCCUUUGGUAAUAAGCAGCCAAUGAAUUCUCACGGCAUCUUGAAUUGGAUGGUUAUCCUUAUGGUGAACCAGUCAAUAAAUCGCCUGUCAUCAGAGAA